rnacentral:rRNA from 1 species
CAGCAGCCGCGGUAAUACGAAGGGUGCAAGCGUUACUCGGAAUUACUGGGCGUAAAGCGUGCGUAGGUGGUGGUUUAAGUCCGUUGUGAAAGCCCUGGGCUCAACCUGGGAAUUGCAGUGGAUACUGGGUCACUAGAGUGUGGUAGAGGAUAGUGGAAUUUCCGGUGUAGCAGUGAAAUGCGUAGAGAUCGGAAGGAACAUCUGUGGCGAAGGCGACUAUCUGGGCCAACACUGACACUGAGGCACGAAAGCGUGGGGAGCAAACAGGAUUAGAGACCCCGGUAGUCCCUGUCUCUUAUAC